rfam:Geobacter bemidjiensis Bem, complete genome.
GGCGGCAUGGCCAAGUGGUAAGGCAAAGGACUGCAAAUCCUUCACUCAUCGGUUCAAAUCCGAUUGCCGCCU